rnacentral:lncRNA from 1 species
GCCCCCAUCUUUUUUUUUGUUUGGGCUAUUUCUAAUCUUUGGGCUAGUCAAGUGACAUAGGCGUAGCUCUCUCUAAGCUGGGUUAUUACAAUAUAAGUGCUAGUUCUUUCCAUUAAUUUUUUUUCUAUAGAUUUUUGAGCUAUGAAAAGAUCGCAAAGAUAGUAAUCAAGCUUACUUAAAGGGCAUGCGAAUAAAAUUAUAUAGAUCA